rnacentral:rRNA from 1 species
AUUGAACGCUGGCGGCAGGCCUAACACAUGCAAGUCGAACGAGUGGCGGACGGGUGAGUAAUGUCUGGGAAACUGCCAGAAGGAGGGGGAUAACUACUGGAAACGGUAGCUAAUACCGCAUACCAUCGGAUGUGCCCAGAUGGUAUUAGCUAGUAGGGGGGGUAAAGUCUCACCUAUGCGACGAUCCCUAGCUGGUCUGAGAGGAUGACCAGCCACACUGGAACUGAGACACGGUCCAGACUCGUACGGGCGGCAGCAGUGGGGAAUAUUGCACCAUGGGCGCAAGCCUGAUGCAGCCAUGCCGCGUGUAUGAAGAAGGCCUUCGGGUUGUAGAGUACUUUCAGCGGGGCGGCGUUACCCGCAGAAGAAGCACCGGCUAACUCCGUGCCAGCAGCCGCGGUAAUGC